rnacentral:lncRNA from 1 species
GGCGGGGUUGGCUCUAACGAAUUUGAAUGAGGAGCCUCAGCGCUUUCGGCGCCAUUUUCGAGUGAUGCCUGAUCUCAUCAAUCUAGCGGGAGAGACAGGAUAACCUGUCCGAGAGUAUAGCGCCACUAUGACUCCGCCGGAAAAAUUACUUUAAAAAUCGCCAAAAAUUACUUGGAGCAAAGGGCAGUCGGCGGAGCUUCGCCAAGGCUGGCGCAGUCGGUUUUGACCUGUAGCAGAGAACCAAUUCUGGAGAACAGCCUCACUUCUUUGAUUGAAUACUUACAUAAUGCAUUGGAACAUGACAUGAGAUUAAGGUUUAAUAAUGAUAGAAUGAAGACCACAAUAAAAGAGACCUCUACUUAGCUCAGCAAUUCUUACCUUUCUUACCUAUUUGAUGAAGAUGUCUUUUGAAAGGUGUACUGCAAGGAACAAAAUGUUUGUAAAUUCUCCUUUUACCAAGGUGGAUAAUUACUGUACCUUCCUCAUGGAAAAAGUUUUAUUUAAAGUGUUAUUUCUCAUUGAAUACUAUCAAAAAGGAAAAAAAAAUGACCUAAACUUUUGAGAUAGAUUUGGCUCUAGUGUAAAUUUUGAUACCACCAUUGCCGCCUUCCCCUCAAAAAAGGUGAGAACUGACUAAACUACUGGUACUUAGACCAUGUGGAGAAGGAACUGAAAAUGGAAACAGAAACACGUCUGUACAGAGCAGAGUGUCAGAUAAUAGCUCAUUUUAGUAGAGGGCAAUAAAUGCCACAUGAGAUGAUCACCUCAGCAGAAAACUGUAAGUAACUGGGGACUUACAGGAGAAUUGAACAGUUGUUUCUGCUGACUCAGUAAAAAGUCUUCAUUUUAUAAUUUGUGGCCUGCAUGCUUGUAAAUUAAAAUGCAUUGAGUUGUCAAGUAAUGGACUUGUCUGGUUUGUAGGUAGGAAUUUAAGCCAAAAUUGAAUGCAACAUUCCCCCAGAAGUAACCUGGGAUCUGUGCCAUAAAACCUAAGGCAAAGGUUACAUGAAUUUGUAUUACUAGGUUAGAACUAGGCUAUUGAGCCUUUGCCUAGAAAACCAAUUAGAGGAUUUUGGUCUUGAUAUAGCAGGGAAUAGGGAGGCAUUAUAGCCUAUUGAUUUGUUUGGAAUUAAAUGUGGCAAUACUAUAUAUAGAAAUGUCUAAGAAAUAAAAUAUGGUAGCAAGGAAACUGGGCAUGUGACUACUGUAGUAAUCUAGGGGUGAAGAAACCUGAACAGCAAUAGUGGCAGGAGAAUGGAGGUGAAAGAAUAAAUUUAAGAUAUUUCAAAG